GCGACCCCAGGUCAGGCGGGACUACCCGCUGAAUUUAGCAUAUC
rnacentral:rRNA from 1 species